rnacentral:precursor_RNA from 7 species
UUCUCAUUAAAGUUCUUGUAUGCAGUGCUGUAUUCAGAUUGGUGCCUGUCAUGUUUAUAAGAAUGAAAGACACCAAGCUGAGUAGAGUAGGGCUUAUUGUGUUCUUCAUUGCAGGU